GAUCCUGGCUCAGGAUGAACGCUAGCUACAGGCUUAACACAUGCAAGUCGAGGGGCAGCAUGGUCUUAGCUUGCUAAGGCCGAUGGCGACCGGCGCACGGGUGAGUAACACGUAUCCAACCUGCCGUCUACUCUUGGACAGCCUUCUGAAAGGAAGAUUAAUACAAGAUGGCAUCAUGAGUUCACAUGUUCACAUGAUUAAAGGUAUUUCGGUCAUCGAUGGGG
rnacentral:rRNA from 1 species